rnacentral:rRNA from 1 species
CAUAACCCCGGGAAACUGGGGAUAAUACCGGAUAACGCAUAUGUGCUGGAAUGCUUUAUGCGUAAAACGGAUUCGUCCGCCCAAGGAUGGGUCUGCGGCCUAUCAGGUAGUAGUGGGUGUAAUGUACCUACUAGCCAACAACGGGUACGGGUUGUGAGAGCAAGAGCCCGGAGAUGGAUUCUGAGACAUGAAUCCAGGCCCUACGGGGCGCAGCAGGCGCGAAAACUUUACAAUGCGGGAAACCGUGAUAAGGGAACACCGAGUGCCAGCAUCAUAUGCUGGCUGUCCAGAUGUGUGAAGUACAUCUGUUAGCAAGGGCCGGGCAAGACCGGUGCCAGCCGCCGCGGUAACACCGGCGGCCCGAGUGGUGACCGUUAUUAUUGGGUCUAAAGGGUCCGUAGCCGGUUUGGUCAGUCCUCCGGGAAAUCUGAUAGCUUAACUGUUAGGCUUUCGGGGGAUACUGCCAGGCUUGGAACCGGGAGAGGUAAGAGGUACCACAGGGGUAGGAGUGAAAUCUUGUAAUCCCUGUGAGACCACCUGUGGCGAAGGCGUCUUACCAGAACGGGUUCGACGGUGAGGGACGAAAGCUGGGGGCACGAACCGGAUUAGAUACCCGGGUAGUCCCAGCCGUAAACUAUGCUCGCUAGGUGUCAGGCAUGGCGCGACCGUGUCUGGUGCCGCAGGGAAGCCGUGAAGCGAGCCACCUGGGAAGUACGGCCGCAAGGCUGAAACUUAAAGGAAUUGGCGGGGGAGCACAACAACGGGUGGAGCCUGCGGUUUAAUUGGACUCAACGCCGGACAACUCACCGGGGACGACAGCAAAAUGUAGGCCAGGCUGAAGACCUUGCCUGAAUCGCUGAGAGGAGUGCAU